CCGUGCCAAUCCCGGCUUGCCACGUGCUGGCGGCUCGGCCGCGUGUCCCCGUCCUGCGACAGCGACAGGAGAGCUCGGGGUGGCACAGCUCAGCCGAGGGGCCGUGUGGGAGCGGGCAGUUCCAGGGAAAGGGAAUUUCAGGGAGAGAGAAUUUCAGAGAAAGGGCAAUUCCAGGGAAAGGGCAAUUCCAGGGGUGGGUAAUUCCAGGGGCAGGCAAUUCCAAGAGAGGGCAGUUCCAGAAGCAGGGAAUUCCAGGGGCAGGGAAUUCCAGGAGAGGGCAGUUCCAGGGGCAGGGAAUUCCAGGAGAGGGCAGUUCCAGGGACAGGCAAUUCCAAGGACAGGCAAUUCCAGGGUGUGGACAAUUUUAGGGAGCAGGCAAACUCCCUACCCUGCUCUCCCGCCUCACAUUCCAAGGUUAUUCCCACUUUGAAGGAAUUUAUGGGCAGAAAAUGAAGGACGUGCCUCGUGUCCACUGCAGCUCCCCAAACCCAGCAGGUUCUGCUCCCAUCCUGCUUCCACUUCCAUUUAUUUCAGAUAAAUAUUUCAGAUAAAUGCUUUACUUCAGAUCCUGAUUUUAACCCUUUGGAACCAUCCCCUCCACCCUGCACAGCAUUCCCACAGAAUUCCUGUUGGAUCAAGUCCUUUGCUGACUGAGGGAUGGGGCAGCUGAGAGGCGUUUUAAACCCUUUUAUUCUAUUUUCAAUGUCGUGUGAAGUGUGAGGCAAUACAGGUGUUAUAAAUGGCAAUCGGAAGGAGUCAGAAAAGGGCUUAAUCCCAACAAUUCCUUUUUUUCCGGAGCCGGGAGCGGUGCGAGCCGGUGACUCAGGAGCGUCUGGGCUGCGGGAGGCGCUGCCAGCCGGGAAUGCUGGAGCGAGGAGAGGAGAGGGAAGGAAGGCGGCGCUGACUCAGCCCCAGCCGGGCCGGGAGAUGGGAUUUGCCGGGAGAGGCUGCAGCCCACGCUGCCCCUCUGCUCCGAGGGUGGGAACAGCCGGCUCCGGGAUGCUCCGGGAUGUCCUGGGUGUCUCUGUCCCUGAUCAGGUGUUCUCGCUGCCUUCCCUCCUCGCCAGGUGCCAAGGAAUAUGUGUUCCCGCGGAGGGAGAGGUUCCCGGUGUUCUUCCACCAGGAAAACACCUCCUCCAUCUACGUCGGGGGCGAGGGCAGGCUCUACUACUACGACUUUGCAACGCGCGACAACUACACGGUGAGGAGGCGCCGCUAACGCGUUCCGCAUCGAAACCCCACCAAAAGUCUCCGGAUCCAUCUCCCUGCCCACAUUCCGGGCCUGGAUGAGCCUGGGCCCAGCCAGCUCCAUCCUGCCAGGAAGCAAAAUCCCAGCAGCAAAGAAUGGGUUAGGCUCAGGGUUAGGGUUAUUAGGGUUUGGGUUUGGGUUAGGCUCAGG
ensembl:lncRNA